rnacentral:lncRNA from 1 species
CUGAGCGUAUUUCCUGUGCUGCUGCCUUGAUGGAUCAGAGUUGAGAGAGAUGGUGACAGUCUGGGCUCUGACCUGAUGGUACCAUUAUUGUCCUGAGCCUGGAACCUAUAGUCAACACAUUAAUGACCCGCAGAUGAAGGUACCAUCCAGAUGUACAAUCAUCCAAAGUGGUAUGUCCUAAAAUACUUGGCGAUGCAAAUCCUUUAAUUCAGCCACCACCCUCUGUGCA